rnacentral:rRNA from 1 species
AGGUAUGGACGAAGUCUGAUCCAGCCAUGCCGCGUGCAGGAUGACAGCCCUACGGGUUGUAAACUGCUUUUAUACAGGAAGAAACACUCCGACGUGUCGGAGCUUGACGGUACUGUAAGAAUAAGGAUCGGCUAACUCCGUGCCAGCAGCCGCGGUAAUACGGAGGAUCCAAGCGUUAUCCGGAAUCAUUGGGUUUAAAGGGUCCGCAGGCUGUUUUUUAAGUCAGAGGUGAAAUCCUGCAGCUCAACUGUAGAACUGCCUUUGAUACUGGAAAACUUGAGUUAUUGUGAAGUGGUUAGAAUGUGUGGUGUAGCGGUGAAAUGCAUAGAUAUCACACAGAAUACCGAUUGCGAAGGCAGAUCACUAACAAUAUACUGACGCUCAUGGACGAAAGCGUGGGGAGCGAACAGGAUUAGAUACCCUGGUAGUCCACGCCGUAAACGAUGGAUACUAGCUGUUCGUCUAACAUUGGUUAGAUGAGUGGCUAAGCGAAAGUGAUAAGUAUCCCACCUGGGGAGUACGGUCGCAAGACUGAAACUCAAAGAAAUUGACGGA